rnacentral:rRNA from 1 species
CAGCAGCCACGGGAAUACGUAGGUGGCAAGCGUUGUCCGGAAUUAUUGGGCGUAAAGGGCUCGCAGGCGGUUUCUUAAGUCUGAUGUGAAAGCCCCCGGCUCAACCGGGGAGGGUCAUUGGAAACUGGGAAACUUGAGUGCAGAAGAGGAGAGUGGAAUUCAACGUGUAGCGGUGAAAUGCGUAGAGAUGUGGAGGAACACCAGUGGCGAAGGCGACUCUCUGGUCUGUAACUGACGCUGAGGAGCGAAAGCGUGGGGAGCGAACAGGAUUAGAUACCCGUGUAGUCCCUGUCUCUUAUAC